rnacentral:rRNA from 1 species
GGUGAGCGCUGGCGGCGUGCCUAAUACAUGCAAGUCGAGCGAACGGACGAGAAGCUUGCUUCUCUGAUGUUAGCGGCGGACGGGUGAGUAACACGUGGAUAACCUACCUAUAAGACUGGGAUAACUUCGGGAAACCGGAGCUAAUACCGGAUAAUAUUUUGAACCGCAUGGUUCAAAAGUGAAAGACGGUCUUGCUGUCACUUAUAGAUGGAUCCGCGCUGCAUUAGCUAGUUGGUAAGGUAACGGCUUACCAAGGCAACGAUGCAUAGCCGACCUGAGAGGGUGAUCGGCCACACUGGAACUGAGACACGGUCCAGACUCCUACGGGAGGCAGCAGUAGGGAAUCUUCCGCAAUGGGCGAAAGCCUGACGGAGCAACGCCGCGUGAGUGAUGAAGGUCUUCGGAUCGUAAAACUCUGUUAUUAGGGAAGAACAUAUGUGUAAGUAACUGUGCACAUCUUGACGGUACCUAAUCAGAAAGCCACGGCUAACUACGUG